rnacentral:rRNA from 1 species
UACGGAGGGGGCUAGCGUUGUUCGGAAUUACUGGGCGUAAAGCGCACGUAGGCGGACAGUUAAGUCGGGGGUGAAAUCCCGGGGCUCAACCCCGGAACUGCCUUCGAUACUGGCUGUCUGGAGGUCGAGAGAGGUGAGUGGAAUUCCGAGUGUAGAGGUGAAAUUCGUAGAUAUUCGGAGGAACACCAGUGGCGAAGGCGGCUCACUGACUCGAUACUGACGCUGAGGUGCGAAAGCGUGGGGAGCAAACAGG